rnacentral:rRNA from 1 species
GACGAACGCUGGCGGCGUGCUUAACACAUGCAAGUCGAACGGAAAGGCCCCCACUUUUUUGGUGGGGGUGCUCGAGUGGCGAACGGGUGAGUAACACGUGGGUGAUCUGCCCUGUACUUCGGGAUAAGCUUGGGAAACUGGGUCUAAUACCGGAUAGGACCAUGGUUUAGUGUCUCAUGGUGGAAAAAUUAUUGUUUUGGUGCAGGAUGAGCUCGCGGCCUAUCAGCUUGUUGGUGGGGUAAUGGCCUACCAAGGCGUCGACGGGUAGCCGGCCUGAGAGGGUGGACGGCCACAUUGGGACUGAGAUACGGCCCAGACUCCGACGGGAGGCAGCGGUGGGGAAUAUUGCACAAUGGGCGCAAGCCUGAUGCAGCGACGCCGCGUGGGGGAUGACGGCCUUCGGGUUGUAAACUCCUUUCGUUAGGGACGAAGCCGCACCUUUUUUGGGUGUGGUGACGGUACCUUUGUUAAGAAGCACCGGCUAACUACGUG